rnacentral:lncRNA from 1 species
CGACUUAUGAGCUAGCAUUGAUUGAUGAAAUAUGAAUAUGUCGUACAUAUCACUACAGGUGACUCUGACCUAUGAGCUAGCAUUGAUUGAUGAGAUAUGGAUAUGUCUGUCACGCCCCGGACCCGGGGUCGGUAGUAAAAACUUGAACCCGAAUCCAAAACGCGAGUAAAACUAAAUAAAUAAAAGAAAAUUGACACGGGUUGAAAAAUGAACUCCUCUUAUUAAAAUAACUCCAAAACCUUACAGGGUGUACAAAAGUAAUAAAUUAAAAUCCUUAAACUUCUCAACAACCUCAGCUUGUCCAACACCUGUCUUGCCAAAUAACACUUGUAUUGCCAAAUAACUCAUCUGUAAAAUAAUAGGUGAGGGGUGAGCAACAACCACCGUCGCUCAGUGAGUAGAAUAUGUAAUAUGUCAGUCAAGCUUGCCAUUUUAACCACUAUAAAAUAGGAUAAUAAUAUCAAAGCUUUAGCCACAUAAUUCCAUAUCACAUCAUCCCUUUACGUGUCCAUUAUAUCCUUCAUAAAUUGUAACUCACCACGUGACCCCUAAUGGCCAUCUGCCCUAAUGUCCCCGUGUGCAGUUUACAUUUAUCCCUCAGAUUAAUGCAACACUAAAGUUCUCAUGCUCCAUGAACAUUUCCAAAUAAUCCACAUAUCACGAUAUAUAAUAACUCCAAAACAUUUCAACAAGUCCAACAUGCUUGACUUGAAAUAGAUAGAGAUUUAUAAAUAGAUAAAACCCACAAUAGUUCGUGGUUUUCAUUUAUCAGAAAAUAAGAAUACUUUGAAACACAUUACAUAAACCACUCACUUUGAUAAUCCAAGCUUUGGCAAGACAACCCAACUAACAUCUCCGCACACCUCAAACUAGCUUUCCCUUUUUCUUUUCUUUCUAAGCUCUCACUCUAACGUAUAUAUAAAUAUAUACGCACACCACAUAUAUAUUGCAUGCUCUGCAUGUUUCCUUCUUUUUAUGCUCCAAAAACAAUGGAGCAAAGCUCCUAUUUAUAGUACCGA